UGCAAAUGAUGCUUUUCUCACGAUGGUCUUCCAAGCCUUUUGGGCUUUGACGAUAAUGCCUAAUGGCAAUGCUGAUGCGGUCCA